rnacentral:lncRNA from 1 species
GCGAGGCUUGGCCAUGCUGAGCGCGGCACAUUCCCGGCCGGGGGGGAGGCCGAGCGCAGCCCCUGCCACCGCCAGCUCCGGGGUCCGGCGCGGGGUCCGGCGCAGCGUUACGAGGUGAGGGCCGCGGGGGGAGCCCAGGGGGGGGCCAAGGGAGCCGAGUGCCGUACCGGGGGCUGGUGCCGGUGCCGGUGCCGUUGCCAUGCCGCCGCCGGAGGGUUGCUAAGCUCCGCUCCGAGCCCGCGUGGGCUGCAGCGCUCGGUGCCAAACCCGGCAAUCGCCUCGCGCUGUCGCAGGGGGGGAAGGGAUCCCGGGGGGGGUGAGGGUGUGGGGGACACGUUUGGCCCCCCCCUGGGACAGCCGGCGACACCGGGACCCACACACCCUGGCGGGGCCGUGCCCUGCAUCCCCCCGGCCUGGCGGUGCCACCGGGUGGCUCGGGGGUCCGGGGGGGUGCACGUGCGGCGGUGGCUGCGCCUGUGCGGGCGGGCGCGUGGCUCCGCCGAGGCUCCACCGAAGCGGCAGCACCGGGCCCCCCCUGGCCCCCCAGCACCGGCAGCCUCCGGUUCUCCGGGCUAUGCUGGGUGGCCCGGAACGGGGCGCGGGGCGCCUGCGGAUCUGCGAGCGGACCAAGCUACUGCUGGUGGAGAUCAACACGGUCUCGUGUUGCAGCCCGGCCACCGGCAUGGCCGCGGGGUGCCGGCCCGCGUCCCCCUGGACCUACCGGAGCUUCGCCGGGGAGUACGCGUGAGUAGGGCCAGCGGGGUGGUGGUGGUGGGGGGGGGGGGGGGGUGGGCUCCGUCCCGUGCCCCCAGCCCCUGUGCGCGGCGCCCUUCACGCCCCUCUCUGUCUUGCAGGUACCUGGAGAAGCGUUUGGUGGCGGAGCUGGCCCCCCCUUGGCCCCCCGUGCCCCGCGGUUGCCCCGUUGCCACCCCCUGCCCGCCACAGGACUUCACCUACCGGCCCCCCCCAGGCCACGAGAGCCGGCCCCGGGCCCCCCCAGCCCGCUGUACCCCCGAGGGGUCAGGGUGCAGCUCCCCCCGGGGCCGGCACCCAGCAGCCCCCCCUCGCAACCCAGUGCCGGGGGGCAAGCUGGGCCCCCCCAGCUACGAGACCCACAUGCGGCGGAUGCAGGCGGCCCAUGUGCGCCGGGGGGGGCCGCCCCCCUACAUCUCGCCCCCCGCCUACGACGCACCCCACCGCACCCUUCAGCCCCGGCCACGCAGCGGUCCCUGGGGGCCACGCAGCCCCCCCGCCCCGGCACCAAGGGGCCGUGGGGCUGUGCUGGGGGGCUGGAGCCACACGCUGCCCCGGGCGGCCACCGAGGUUGGGUCCCGGCGGCCCCGUGGGCUGCAGACCCCCCCUGGAGGAGUGGGACCCCCCCGGCACAGCCAGACCUUGCCCCGUGCGGCGGCUAGCCGGGAGCGGGGCCCGGGGCGCAGCGGAGGACGGCGGGGGCAGGGGGGGCACGUCCUCAUCGAUGCCACCCGCGUUGUGGUCCGGGCCCAGUACGUGCCCCCCCCGCAGCGGCAGCAGGUCCGGUACGCCGGGGGGAGCCCUGGGCCCGCCGCCCCCCCGGGCAGCCCCCCUGCGUCCCCCAAAACCCGCACCCCUCCAGCAGCACCCUCGCCCCCCCGCCAGCCG